rnacentral:rRNA from 1 species
UACAGAGGUCUCAAGCGUUGCUCGGAAUCACUGGGCGUAAAGCGCACGUAGGCGGAUUGUUAAGUCAGGGGUGAAAUCCUGGAGCUCAACUCCAGAACUGCCUUUGAUACUGGCGAUCUCGAGUCCGGGAGAGGUGAGUGGAACUGCGAGUGUAGAGGUGAAAUUCGUAGAUAUUCGCAAGAACACCAGUGGCGAAGGCGGACUCACUGGCCCGGUACUGACGCUGAGGUGCGAAAGCGUGGGAGCAACAGGGAUUAAGAAACCUAGUACGUCCA